rnacentral:rRNA from 1 species
AUUGAACGCUGGCGGCAUGCUUUACACAUGCAAGUCGAACGGUAACAGGCCUUCGGGUGCUGACGAGUGGCGAACGGGUGAGUAAUGCAUCGGAACGUGCCCAGAGGUGGGGGAUAACGCAGCGAAAGCUGUGCUAAUACCGCAUGUGAUCUGAGGAUGAAAGCGGGGGACCAGGCAGCAAUGUUUGGCCUCGCGCCUUUGGAGCGGCCGAUGUCAGAUUAGGUAGUUGGUGGGGUAAAGGCCUACCAAGCCGACGAUCUGUAGCUGGUCUGAGAGGACGACCAGCCACUCUGGGACUGAGACACGGCCCAGACUCCUACGGGAGGCAGCAGUGGGGAAUUUUGGACAAUGGGCGCAAGCCUGAUCCAGCAAUGCCGCGUGCGGGAAGAAGGCCUUCGGGUUGUAAACCGCUUUUGUACGGAACGAAAAGGCUCUGGCUAAUACCUGGGGCUGAUGACGGUACCGUAAGAAUAAGCACCGGCUAACUACGUG